CAACUACUCCCUCCAUCCGAAAAUACUUGUCAUUGAAAUGGAUGUAUCUAGAUGUAUUUUAGUUCUAGAUACAUCCAUUUUGACGACAAGUAAUUCCGAACGGAGGGAGUAUAAA
rnacentral:pre_miRNA from 1 species